CGGUGGUGUAGUGGUAGCACGCGUCCCCGGUAAGAAUGAAACGAGGGUUCGAUUCCCGCCAAAGCGU